rnacentral:rRNA from 1 species
CGGGAAGAGCCCAUCGCUGAAUCCCCGGACCCGACCAGGCUCGGGGAGUUGUGGCGUGAGGCGGCUUCGGGCGCGUGAGUCCUUCGACGCCGAGGUCCUCCUGAUCGGGGCGCCUCAACCCAGAGCGGGUGUCAGGCCCGUUCAGGCGUCGGGGCUCUCGGGCCUGGAGCCACCAAGAGUCGGGUUGUUUUGGAAUGCAGCCCAAAGAGGGGUGGUGAACUCCAUCCAAG